UACGGGGGGGAGCAAGCGUUGUUCGGAUUUACUGGGCGUAAAGGGCGCGUAGGCGGUCGUGACAAGUCACUUGUGAAAUCUCCGGGCUUAACUCGGAACGGUCAAGUGAUACUGUCGGACUAGAGUACAGAAGGGGGCAACUGGAAUUCUCGGUGUAGCGGUGAAAUGCGUAGAUAUCGAGAGGAACACCGGUGGCGAAGGCGGCAUCCUGGACCAACACUGACGCUGAGUGAGCGAAAGCCAGGGGAGCAAACGGG
rnacentral:rRNA from 1 species